GACGAACGCUGGCGGCGUGCUUAACACAUGCAAGUCGAACGGAAAGGCCCUGCUUUUGUGGGGUGCUCGAGUGGCGAACGGGUGAGUAACACGUGAGUAACCUGCCCUCGACUUUGGGAUAACUUCAGGAAACUGGGGCUAAUACCGGAUAGGAGCUCCUGCUGCAAGGGGGGGGUUGGAAAGUUUCGGCGGUUGGGGAUGGGCUGGCGGCUUAUCAGCUUGUUGGUGGGGUAGUGGCUUACCAAGGCUUUGACGGGUAGCCGGCCUGAGCGGGUGACCGGCCACAUUAGGACUGAGGUACGGCCCAGAAGACUACGGGAGGCAGCAGUGGGGAAUAUUGCACAGUGGGCGGAAGCCUGCUGCAGCAACGCCGCGUGCGGGAUGACGGCCUUCGGGUUGUAAACCGCUUUCGCCUGUGACGAAGCGUGAGUGACGGUAAUGGGUAAAGAAGCACCGGCUAACUACGUG
rnacentral:rRNA from 1 species